rnacentral:rRNA from 1 species
ACGGGUGCGUAACACGUGAGAACCUGCCCAAAAGAGGGGGAUAGCCCGCCGAAAGGCGGAUUAAUACCGCAUAUUAACAAAGCAGCAAUGCACUUUUGGAUGGGCUCGCGGCCUAUCAGCUAGAUGGUGAGGUAACGGCUCACCAUGGCGAUGACGGGUAGCUGGUCUGAGAGGACGACCAGCCACACUGGGACUGAGACACGGCCCAGACACCUACGGGUGGCAGCAGUCGAGAAUUUUUCACAAUGGGGGAAACCCUGAUGGAGCGACGCCGCGUGGAGGAUGAAGGUUUUCGGAUUGUAAACUCCUGUCAUGAGAGAACAAAACCCGCAAGGGCUUGAUAGUACCUCAAGAGGAAGGGACGGCUAACUCUGUGCCAGCAGCCGCGGUAAUACAGAGGUCCCAAGCGUUGUUCGGAUUCACUGGGCGUAAAGGGUGCGUAGGUGGCGGGGUAAGUUGCGUGUUAAAUCUCAAGGCCCAACCUUGAAACCGCACGCAAUACUGCUCUGCUAGAGGACUGUAGAGGAGAAUGGAAUUCACGGUGUAGCAGUGAAAUGCGUAGA